GUUCAGCAUGGUCAUUGUGGGCCGAAGGGCCCGUUUCUGUGCUGUACAGUUCUAUGUUUUAUGUAGAUAUUGGAACCCCUUCCUCCCACCCCCAGAACCGCACCGUUCAGGAAAUAAUUCUCUGUUUGCAUUAUCCAUGUGCCCAACGAAAAGCCUCUUGAACAGAGGGUGGUGAAUCUGCGGAGCUCAAUUGCCACAGACGGCUGUGGAGGCCAAGUCAUUGGGCAAAACUAAGCUUUUCACUGUAGGCACAAGGAAAUGCUGGUUUACGAAAAAGACACAAAGUGCUGGAGUAAUUCAGAGAGUCGGGCAGCAUAUCUGGAGAACAUGGACAGGCAAAACUAAGCUUUUCACUGUAGGCACAAGGAAAUGCUGGUUUACCAAAAAGACACAAAGUGCUGGAGUAAUUCAGAGAGUCGGGCAGCAUAUCUGGAGAACAUGGACAGGAAGAAGGAGACCGCAAUUUAUCCUAGGGGCAACUUCUAAAACUGAACCAUCCCAUCACCAACCAGUGAGCGGUCCUGAUCUCCCAUCUGCCCCAUUGGAGACCCUCGGGCUAUCUUUGAUCGGACUUCA